AUAAUGAAGAAACAUUUACGCUUCCAUUACGUUACUCUAAUUCUUCCUCAUUCUUUGAGGAAUCUAUCCUUUAGUAUUUCUUAAAUACUUAAGGACUCACUUGACAGUUGCCAUGGUUCUGAUCCUGGGCUUGCACUUAUAUCAUCUUGUACCGUUCUAGGUACAACUCAUAUCAAUGUUUUUCAUACAAUAUGAAAUACACAAAUCACCUUUGUGCGUAUGCAUAAAGGAUUCUAUUUACGCAUGAUUUCUUUGGGAGUUAAAAGGGCACGUUCCCUUUGAGAAGGGCAACUUGCUAGUCACACUAGAGUCAUCCUUCUAUUUGAAGUUUAUCAUCAUAUGAGAAACUUCCUAGCAUCUUUUGUCUAUUAUUAGGAAUUGAUAUAAUCCAAUUAUAUCCUAAAAAAUCUAUCAUUAUAGAUUUCUAUCCCAUGUAUAUAGACUAUGUCUCCCAUAUACAUUCUAUCUUCAUAUAAUGUUUAAAGUCAUAACUUUAACGAAGAAAUAUUCUUUUUAAUUCCAAAAUUAAUAUAUCAUAUAUACAUUCAU
rnacentral:lncRNA from 1 species